rfam:Pseudoloma neurophilia strain MK1 NODE_688, whole genome shotgun sequence.
UGACACGAUCAUAUCCACUGAUCAGCACCGGAUCCCGUCCGAUCUCCGAAGUUAAGCCAGUGUGAGCCCAGUCAGUACUGAAGCGGGUGACCCUUCGGGAAAAUUGGGUGUUGUGUUUU